UGCUCUCUGUAUAAUGCACUUGCAUAGAAUCCACUCUGAUUUACUUGCAGUACCUUAUGCAAAUACUGAUGUUCCUUGGAAUUGUUAUGCUCCUGUGUCUUUUACAUGUUCACAUGCUAGCUUUUUGUACUGUGUUUCCUUAGGAAGCUGCACCUGGGCUUGGGAUGGCUAGGAGAUCUGGGUGCUGCACGAAGCAGGCACAGUGAACGAUGCCGGGGAGGGGAGCCCUCUGGAAACUAUGAUGGUGUGCGUGUGUUGCAACUACGUCUGAUUAGUUCAUGAGGAGCCGGUGUCAGCCUGGAACAUCUAGCGCUGAGUGAGCCUGGAUGCAUUCCAGCUGCUGCCUUGCCCUAUAGGGCUGAAGCGCUCAGCCUUGCUGAACCAGACCUGUGCCUGGGUGUGCUUGAUUUGUCUUGCUGUUAUCAGGAGAGCUGAGCAGCCCAGCACAGCCGGUGUCCUCAUGAGAGCGCAACCCUGACUCUGCGUGGCUGAUGCUCAGCUAGAGAUCGCAAUGACUGAAGUGACGUGUGUCUUAAUUGAAGAUACGAUUUGUCAAAUGCCAAGUUCCUCCAAGAUCUUGCAGAGCACCAAGCAAGCAGAAAUUCCUAUGCUCGUGUAGGCUGCAGUUUUGUGGUGUCUUAAUUCAGUUGGGUGAACUUAGCUCAGGGCAGAAAACUGGCUUGGCUGAACAGGAAGUUCCUUCUGUUACUAGGGCAGAAAAAGAAAAUAUAUGUCCUCUGGAAGCAAGAUCUGACUACACAGGGAGAGUACAGAGCUGCAGUUUGCGUCUACAGGGAGAAAAGAAGAGCCAAAACUCAACUUGAGCUGAUACUGGCCACUAUGGUGUCAGACAACAAAAAUGACUUUUUCAAAUAUGUCAACAGCAAGAGGAGGUAGAAGGAAAGCAGUGGACUUCUAUUUGUAGAGAAUAGUCACCUAACAAAUUCCCGGGAGAUGUGGCAUUGAAUCUCAAAGAACUGGAAGGAGAACGACUCACCCAACCUGCCUUUCAGGAAACAAUAAAUGCAAGAGAAGAUGGCGCUGAGCUGGAAGAGUGUGAUGGAACGCUGGAUAUUUGGACAGCCUCAGCCACAGGAGAUGAAGCUUAAUUUCCCAUGUAUCUAGAGCUGUACAGAUAAAAACAAAAACAGCAACAAAAGAAACUGUGGUUACAAACUGCCUUCCCUCUGAAGUCAUUACAGCUCGGUGCUUGGCCAUGCAGAGCGAUCCCAAACAGGGCAUCAAGGGACACAGCCCUGCAAAGCUGCAGGUGGAGCAAAACUCGCUGCCACUGCUUUCCAUAUGUUCCUCCCUAUGGGGGCCUGACUGGACCUCGACCUGAGGAGGAAGCAGAAUGGAAACUUCAUGGAGAAGCGAGUCCAGCCCCUCAGGAAAGUCUUUUUAUGUGUGGCUUCCCUAAGAUCCAAAUGUGGCUGAAAGGACUCCCUUUUAGACUUGGGCAUAUGAACUCCAACAGAAGUCCACUAGCUGAUAGAAUGCUUAAUCAAGAUAAAUAGACACACCAAAAAGAUGGACAAAUACACCGGCACCAACGCAGUUUGACUUAGAUCGCUUUACAGUAAAUACGGAAGUCCCUCUGAAGAAGCAGGAGCAUGGCAACAACUGUAAUCUCAAGAUUCCAUGAGCUACACUUUGGUCCUAUCAAGACAGGCAGGCAGCUGCAUGAGAGGUGGAAAGAGAGAAAAUGAUUGAGAUGAAAUCACCAACAACAACUAUUGCAGGCAGCAAAGCAGCAUUGGAUCCCAGCCACAGUACUUCUGCAACCAGGUGUGAAUGAGCCUGAUGGGAUGUCAUUAUGGAACCUACACCGGAAAAGAGCACCAGCAAGCAUGCUAGCCAAACAUCCCUGGCAGGAAAGCAGAGAGCAGCAAACUGCAGCACUCCAGUACCUUGCCAGUGGUGUGGCUUGAGGGCUCAGAAUGGCUCUGGCUGUGCACACAGGUAGAAGAAGAGAGGAACAUGCUGUGGUCUGUGGUUUGGAGGGACCUUGAUUUCUUUGGGGACAGAGGCUGCUAUUUUGAGCUAACCUCAGUACCCACAGAGGGCUCCAUGACCCAUCCACCAACUGCUGAGCUUGCUAUGAAACUAACUGCAACUCUGAGCCUGGUUUUCCCUCCCAUCUGGCAGUGAAAAUGAACUGCUGCUGACUGAAUGACCACUGAUUCUCUUGGAAGCAGAGCUCUGCUAAGAGCAACAGCCAACUCUGUCACCAUUUGUGAGGAUUUGUAGCUUGGGCCCUGAGACAUCUGGCUGAGAUAUUUACGCAGUCCUGUAUUGCACUCGCUGAGGCUCUGUGUUCACAUCUGGAGUCUAGACUGAGUGACUCUAUGGGCUGGCCUUCAAGCCUCUGAACAGCUCAUGUCCCUCUUGUUCUCUCAUUUUUUCUUUUUAUUGCUUUAUUUAUUUGCUGUAGGUGCUCCUAUCACAACUCUUCAGACAUUUCUGUCAAGGCCACUUGAGAGCUUCAGCGAGGAAUGGCAGCAACUGAAAGAAACCAGGCAGAACCAGAUGGGAUGGGUAGGAAAAAAAGGCUGUGUUGAGGCAAGGCUUUGAUUGCGUCGUUAUUGUGAUGGGGGAUGCCUGGUGCUUGAUUACGCUGUUUCUUCUGAGGCAUACAGCUGUGUUUGUGGGAAAUGACAAUGCUCAUCUGCACAGGGUUUGCCUUCAACACAUGCGACAGGGAGCAACGGUUUCUGUAAGUUGUUAGCUGGCCACAUGGCUGAGCCAGGCAGGGGGAUGAGUUGCCCACUACCCUGAGUCAGAUCCAUCAGUGGGAUGCAGUUGUAACCUGGGUCACAGCAGAGCUGUUCUGCCUCAGGCUGGCUGGAGCUGUCUUCUGGCUGAAGAUAACUUCCAUUCAGUGUCCUCAGGGGUAAGGCAGGGGGCCAAGGCCUAUAACAGGACAUGACAGGUAAAAAUCAGUGCCAAAAUGUAGAGAUCUGAGGUACCUGAGUUGCUGGCGUGGGACUGGUAGCACAGGAGAGACCUAGAGCAUCUGAAAGAGACAUCCAGGUUUAGGAAAUUAAUCCCUUCCACUAUUUCCUAUGUUCUGCCUUUGUGUUUAGUUGGGAAUCAUGUUUUAAAUUUGGGAUGCUAUGACCUGUAGCCCUGUGCUGGUGCUGUACUAGAAGUGAACUCCUCCUUGAUCCGAACACUGGCCCCGACAAUAUUGGCUGCUAUUGCUUUCCCACACUGGGAGCAAAUCUUCCCAAAUGGUGCUGCUCUCAUUCUCAGCCUCUCCAUUUCUUUCUCUGAGCCUUUAGACUACUAGUUCCACUUGCUCCUCUGUCUGUCCCGUAUUCUCCUUUGUUUUAGAUUUCCUGGUUGCCUAACAGGCCUGUUUGCUGCUGCUGGAGAAAUACUGUUAGGGAGUCAAAGGCCAAGUAUUGCUGACAACUGUGAAGUUAUGACUAGGAAAUGCGGUGGAGAAAUUGAAUGAUCUAAUAGAGAAAAUGAAUGUAGUGCUUGAAAAGAUGGGUACUGUGGACGUACCUGUUUGUGUGUAGAUCUAUAUGUAUUUGGAUAUAGAUAAGCCAGAAUGUACAUUAAGACAAUAUCACAAACUCUAGAAAUUCAAGCACUGAAAUACAGUUCAAUUCACCCUUUAAAGAAGGGUAAACAGGGAUUUCAGAUAUUCUCUGUGCACUUAAAGUAGCCAGCAACAGUGUGAUGGCAGUUCUAAGUAAAGGGCCUUAAUCAGAGCGUAUAAAAAGCCCAAUGAUGUUGGAACAACACGUCCAGCUCCCAAGCAUUGUCUCUUUCCCACUAUCAAUGACACCCAUUGUGCAAUAACAACAUUUGCACAGAGAUAUAUCUUGUUUUGUGCACAGAGAAUGUAUCGAAGCAGCCGUAGGGCUGCACUAGCCUUGGCUAAAAAAGUCCCCAAGGGCCCGUCUGCCAGCUGCUGACUGAUGUAGAGCUGCCACUGCUGAUAAUAGGGUACAUGUGCUUGCUUUGAGCUGAACUAGGCAAUCUGGGGCACAGUUAGAUGAGCUCAACAAGGAUCAAGUUCAAACCUGUUUAAGAAGUUAGUUCCUGUCAGCGGUGAUUUAAGCUAAGUAGUUUUUCUGUGGAUUAGGAAGGACGAGAAAUGCUCACACAGUCAGCUACUUCAUCUUGGCUGUCACAGUGGUGAUUUCAACACAUCCAGGGGAGUCAGAAAGACAACAAACAGCUGAGAUCUGUAACUUCCUAAAUCACGCAGGCACAAGCUGCUAAAGGUAAAUUUCCAUUAGAUGUUUGUCUGCUUGUAUGUAUCAGAAUUAUGCUGCCUACUUUGCUUCUUGCAAGUAAAUGGAAUCAGGAAGUGCUUAGACUUCUUUGAAGAUGUAGAUCAUUGUCCAACACUGGCAACAGCUGUUGUUAAUUGAACGUUGCUGAUCCAUUCAGGAGCUCACCUGCAGCAGGAAGAGUGUGGGUGAGGCUAGAGAACAUAGGUUUUUGCUGUAGAGGUUGACAUACCAUGGCUGAAGAGCACAUGUAAAUUUCUCCUAAAAAAUGAUCAUUGCAAGAUUCAAGAAAUGUAAAUAUGCUAAUAAUUAGACAAAAGAACAUUGUACAUGGCAUCUGUGUUAAUGUCACCCAAAUUCUUUAUCAACCACGUUCCUUCUAGGAAUAUCCCACAUGUGGUAAGCAGGAUAUACUUUUGUGCAAAUAGUGUUUCACACCAUCUGGCAUCGCUGAGGUCAGCUACACUGUCUUCCAGGCUUGGGAGCCAAAGUUGGCCUUGGAUCAGAACAGUCAUAUUGUGAAGUUGCUAAGCAGAACUCCUCUGUGUUUCCCAAAAUUAUUCAGUUCCUUCUUCAGAAGAGCAUGCUUUACACAGCAGGAAAUGCAUCUAGAGGUCUUCCUAGUAAUUACUGCCACCUCUAAGUAUUAAUGCCAUAUUCUUGUGGAGUUCUGGAGCAGCAGUUCAGCUGUUAAGUAUUCUUUUUCCUGAGAGAUCAUAGUGAGGGCACUUUCAGGAAGAUCCAGAAAAUGAUCUGCAUAUUUAAGCCCUAGGUAGGCUCGGAGCUGUAAGUUAACCCCAAAAACCCAAUGGUGAAAUUCCUGUUGGUCGUAUCAGCAAGAGUUUAGAGAUAUUAAACAAAACAAACAAGUACAGUAAGUACUAAGUGACUACUCUGGCUUGGCUUGGACAAGCUACAGUGAAACAGAGGUUACUUCUGUCUGGAAUCAAUUCUUCUGUCUCCUAAGUGACUAUUUUAUUUCAUAGUGAAAUGGCAAGUGAAAAAAAAUCCAACAAAACCAAAACAAACAAACAAAACAAACAACAACAUUAAAAAAAAGAAAACCCACAAGGAAAAUGGCUUUAAAUCUUGUUACCCUGGCAAGGAUCCCAAUGACCACAAUAGUAUUUUACCUUUGCAAGGAUUAAGAGAACAGCAGGAUCUGAACAGCCAGUCACUUAGUUGGGUUUGUUGGUGUUUCUAAACCUUUAAUUAGGCAGCGCUGAAUGCAAAUAUCUUAUAAUCUGAAUGCAGAGAUCUUAUACCAUCACUCAAGACCUCUUGAAGGCAAUGCAUACAACAUACAAAUAGAAGCUGUAAUCUAUAAUGCUGCAAAUCCUUUAGGAGGAUUAUCUCUGUUAUCUCAUCUGACAUCAGAGAAUUACAUGUAAUAUAGGCACAUAAAUGGCUUAGUCACAGAGAGAUCUUUUAGAAAAGGGUAGUAGAGAGGAAGUUUUGUUUGUUUGUAAGCCGAGAAGAAGAGGGAAAGCUCUUUCAAUGACAAAUGGAUCUGAGUUAAGGUCCUCUUUGGGUUCACAGCACAUCUUGCUCACUCGGGAGAAUUAGCUGGGGGAACUGAGCUCUUACUGUCUUGAUUUUCAGGUAGUCAUUUACAGCCAUGCAAAGAGUGGGUGUCACACGUGCUUGUGCCUCUGUUACCCUUUGGCUAAGAUCAGUCAAUCUGCAUGAGUACCAGGGCCUGCUGGAAAGUGGUAGACAAUCAAUGAUUGAACACUGUAGUUCACACUGGCCGAACAAAAGCCCUAGAUUUGAAUAACCUGAGCUCAGGAUAAGAUUGCUUGACUUAUGAGGUUCAGUUGCAUAGCUAAACUGAUGAUUUACUCAUUGUAAAGCCAGCCUGGAUUCAUCUUUCAUAGGUCUCUCCUACUGUCUUCACUUAUUUUUCUUUAUAGAACCUUGCUGGUUUCUUCAAAGGGAAAGUGAAAAACUGAUACAGUAUGAUGCAUUUACUCUGUCAUCUAUGGCUUUUCUCAUACUUCCUACUUAUCUUGUCCCUUCUUCCAGUCAGGUGAACCUAAACUAUUCAUGACUGCUUGCUCUGGUUACCGUAUUCCCUUUUCCUUCUCACCUGCGUAUCACCCUGUUUUUGCUCCUAAAAUCUCACUUUGGCUCUUUUUUUUUUUUACUAACAAUAAAAGCAAAAUUUGUCUGUCUCUUCUUAAAAAUACUUAAUUAGAAUGCCAUCCCUCUGCAGUUACCAACCAAUUACCAACUCUUUCCUUCCUUUCAUCUCUAAUUGCAUCUCUGACAGCGAUGAAUGUGUUGUUUAUUGCCCAUAAGCCAAUGCCAGAGGUGCUGUCCCAGAUCCUCUCCAGUCCGGCCACUCUCUCCAGGCUCUCUAAUGAUGGUAGGACAAAAGGAAAGGAAGGGAAAGGACAUGUUGGCAUACCUUGUAGUUUUAAAUACCUAUUUUAUGUUCUCCUGUUUUGGAGACUGAUUAAAAACCCACUAAAUCUAAUUAAGUCUUUCCAUUGAUGUAAUGAUCUUUAGACCAGGACUAGGAAAAUUAUAAAUUGUGUGAGUCAGGGUUCAGGAAGGAAUUCCAGUAUUUUUGUUCAUAGAUGGCUUGUUUCCUGUAGCUUUCACACUGUCCUUUCCACUCCACUGACCUCUGUCUGAUCGUAUACAAUCUCCUUUAUAUUCGCUUUUACAGGAUAAGUAGUUGGAUGUGCACAGAAGAGUGUUCCAUUUUCCGAAAGAAUUUCUUGGAUUCCCUGAAGAGAUUAGUACAAAAUUUUAAUUAGGGGCAUUGGCAGAGUUCCCAAAUACUGGUAUAUUAGGCUGCAGUUUUCAUUUUCAUCCCCCCGUUUUGGUUCCUAUACAAUGCAUAGGAUUUCAGUGGAACUGUGCGACUGACAACUGGUUUACUUUAAAUGAUGCACAUCUCGUCCCUCCGGUUUUUGUCCCUCCCAUUGAUACGGAUGAGUCAUGAUUAGCAGCAGUCUUGCCUUUUCCUUCCGAAGACUGGGGAGAUUGCCCAGUGUUCUGAGGACAAUUGUCCAAAAGAUGUCAGAGUCUGAAGUGACCGGUAAAAUUUCCACUAAAACUCUGGAAGGCGUACAGGAGGCUAGUGUCAUUAAUUAAGUUCUAAGAACCUCUACAGUACUGUGGGAAACUGGCAUAAAAUACGCAAGCUGAACUUUGUUUGCAACUUCCUUCCAUUUAGGAAUUCAUUAAAGGACUGGAGCGUUUGCAGGGAUUUCAGGACCCAGCGCUAGAAUGGCUAAUUGCUGGCUUGGUCUUUUGUAUACAGAGUAUCACAUAAAAGGACUGUGAUCAAAGAAUGCAGGUGCUGCUGAGGGCAAUCAGAAUGCAAGUAUGGUGAUUGCUUGCCGGAUACAAUAUAUAACGUUUCAUUUAGCGGUGCUUUGCUUUGGUCCGUGAUUGGAUUUUGCAGGAGUUGGUGAAUGAUUUUGACUGAAGUGAUUUAAUAAAUACAUUGUUUGAGCAGAGCUAGAAGUUUAUACCUCUUCUUUCAUCUUCCUGUUUUUUUCCCCUACCAGCACCCAAGGGGAACAUAACCACCAGUGCAGAUUUAACUUAGUUGAAGUCUUUCGUAAGUUUAAGUUGCUGUUACCUUCCUCAGAAUGCUACAGGUGGCUAUCAGUUAAUUUUAGCUGCAUCUGGGGUCUUGCAGUGGAGGAGUGCAAAGUUACACAGUGUAGUUUAGCUUUCAUAUCUUCACAGUGAGAGCUUAAGAAAUCACCAAUAAUUUUAUGACUCUAUUUAUCAUACCUAUAUUUUCUUCAGUUCUUUCUGCAACCAUUCUCAUCAAAUGGCAAAGCAAAGUCUAUGUCGAAGCUUUUUCCUUUUUUAAUAACCAUCUGAUUUGAUCCCCCCCCCAAAAUGGCACAAACCAUGUGAAACAAGUAGAGCUGUGGCCCCUGGCUUGGAGAACAUGCAUGAGUAAUUAAAUCAUAUGCCCUUCUGUCACCAUUUUUUGCAGGGAGAGGGAUUAAAAUCUGUGUUCACAGGCUGAGAGCAGGUGUCUGCGAUGAGAUCCCAUGCUGUGACAUGCAUGCAGCACAUUCUUACAUGAAAAGCCCUGGCUGAUGAAAUGACCACAGGAAGACAACACGGAACCCUCCUGGCAGGAUCAGAAGAAGCUUAAUUAAGCUCCAUGGUUAAUGUUAAAGUCCUUUUGUCAGCAGCAUAACAAGGAACUUCAGUCUGGCUUUCAAAAGUGCUGAACACCCAAAACUCCUACUUAGGUCUCUGUGAAUCACAGUUUGAAAGCAAAUCCGUCAGCUUGGAGAUGUGGUCUUAACAAAGCCUGGAGCUGUAGCAGUACAGAGGCUGCAUGCAGGGAAGAACAGCCAGAAGGGACCUUCAUGUGCAGUGCAUCCUGCAGUCCCACAGCUGGAAACACAUCCAAGGCUGGACAUAAACCCAGCUGUCUAGGAAGUACGUAAGAUACUCAUUUGGAUCAAUUAGGGCACACAAGAGAAACCAAAGAACAUGAGUAAAAGUUGUAAAAGUUACAAGUGUGUACUACGGAGGCCUGUACUUUGGAAGCGUCUUCCGUGAAGCGAAGGAUUUUCCCCGUAUUUCUGAAUCACAAUGAGUUCCUGGUAUAUGAAAGACAAGAAGAAAGUUUAGAAGUCAAAUUGUUGAGACUUCUGGUUUGUUUUGAGCUUUCCUCCACACUUCUGUGACAGAAGACAACAUAUGUGAAUAGCUUAAAAGCAGGUUGAGGGAUGGUGGCCACUGAUUUGCGCACAAAGGGAUGCAGUGGUUAGAAAAGUGGAAAGGGGUUUCUGGGUGGCUGCACAGUAGUACUAAAAGAUUGUGCUUUAUAAAGAACAUGUAUAACAGUGAUAUUAUUCAGAACAGUACUUGUUAUAGUACUUGCGAUGCUAUCUUCUGAUUAAAGUUUAUAAGCACUUGUGGUCUUGGGGUAGGGGCAGAAGCUGAAGCCUACCAAGUGGUUGACUCUUCAUACUAGAAAUAUUCACAUAUUCAUACUUACAGUCAAAGGAUAGCCUAUUAAGAGGUAAAAUUCUGCUCUGUUAUUUGAAAUUUUCAAGAUCAGACCCUAGUAAACACAUUUCUUCUUGUUGUAGUUGGGUGACAUGAAACUUCUUUUGAUGGCUGUUUCAGUUUAGCCUUUAUGAGUUGGUAGAUGGGCUGAUCCUAGGUCCUGGUCUAUUUUCACCGCAUGUGUUACGCAGAUUUCCUUAAAAAGGAAUCUUAUGCCUUAGCCAGGAAGAUAAAUAAUGAGAAAACAUCUGCUAUUUAAGCUCUGGACUGACCUAUAAAUCUUAACGACAAAUGCAAUACCAGAAGCAGAAAUCAUCUACAGAUUGCAAAAUACUCACACUCUCUCUUUUUUGUUUCUUUUUAUUUUUAUUUUUAUUUUUUAACAACAUUGUUGUCAUUCCUUUAAUUCCUUUAAUUCCUGGUAAUUUGGAAGCUCACAGUUUUUUUAUUUUCCUUCUCACUUUUUCAUUAUAAGUGAUAGGAGCUGCCGAGAGGAGGGCAUGGCAACCAUAAUAACAGAAGAAGGAUGGAACAGACAGCCUCUACAAGAAGCUGACAGGCAGAGAAUAAUGACAGAACAGAGGAUGGAUAGCUAAUAGGAUGAUUUACUCUUGAGAAGCUCUGGAGAGUGGGAUGCUUCUUUGCCUGUUUAUUUCAACCUCAUAUGAUGGAGAAGAAAGGAGUUUACUUAACUGCUUUAAUCCUUUGCUGCAUUUUCUCCUACUAGGGGGUGGGAAUGUGCUUCUUUCCUCAGUGCUUCUUUGUGGCCUGUCUCCAAAAGAAAGACUGCUCUAAGAGUAACAAGAGAUCUCUCUCCUUUUACCUAUAGAGCUGUAACAGAAAGGGCCCAGCAAACAUUUAAAACAGCUGUACCUGUGAUGACCAAAGAGUUAAAGAUGCUAAAAUACAAAAUGCUGUGGAGAAUGUCAAGCUCAGAAUUCAGAGAAGGAGUUUAGUGUGGGGCAUGGCUUACCUGCAGCAUGAGCAAAGAUAAGCAAACUCUCAAAUUUAGUUGAGAUGCUGAAUAGAACUGGAGGCCCUCUCAUGCAGCAAGUCAUUCUGUUAUCUGUUUGUUUAUUGCAAAGUCAGGCUAAUUUUAUUCUGCACUUCUUGUUGCUUUAAUGUAAACACUGGAAGAGGUAAUGUUGGGGUAAAAGUCUCUGGAGAUCGUGAGCAGCAUAUGGACCAUGUCUCUUGAUAAAUCGUGAAACUAUCCCCUUGCAAAUGGGCAGGGAUGGAGUAUUUCUUCUACUGACGCUGUCAAGGGAUCCUUGCAUCCCAUGAGUCAGUAUUCUUUGUCUGUAAUUUCAAAGAUAGGUCAGUGGGUAUGGAAAUCAGUCUACAGAAAUUAACUCACUUACCUGACUCUUAUUGGGCCAGGUGGUACAAGUAAUCUGGGCUGGAAAUUCAGCUCUCCUUUGGGAGUGGUUUUCUCUGGGCAGAAAUUUCCCCAUUCUGAAUUACUCUAGAGACACAAGUGUAGUCCUGGAGUGGCUGGGCUGGCAAUGUUCAAGCACACAAGCAGACUGCAAAUAAGAUAAUGUUCAUUGGUUAAAACAGCAAUGGAGGGAGGGAGGGCUAAAAUUAAACACAUGGUGAUACUUUGUUUUGUUUUUUUUUUCCUAUGCCCUGAAUACCGUCUGCUUGAAAAUCAGGUGAAUCCAAGUGUUACUCUGAAGGGCUCUUCUUAUUAUGUUGAGAUUUUCAUAAAGUGGAGCAAAGAAUUUUGUCUAAAAGACAAAUAGGAGCCUAAUAAGUAAAUGCAAAAGAGACUGUAAACUGAUUGGUGCUCAGAAGAGGGUGAAUGAGUUUGACUGAGAUCUGGAGUAAAGCACUCCUGUGCUCUUUCAAUUACAAGUUUAAGACUGCCACAAUUGACAGAUUAAAGGUGUUCACCCUAAUCCAAAUUAUACUUUCCCCAGUCAAAUUGACCAUUGUGUCAGCUUCAAUUUGUUCAGAUAUGUCACCUACAGUGACUGAUUGGACUGAUUCACUUGCACACUCUUUGACAAGGUCCUUGUUUUGUGUUCACUCCUUGCUAUUUCCUUGCUAUUUCCCUUGUCAGACAGAUACUCUAGAGGCAUUUCCAUUAUCUUCCAUGUAGCUGUACCUCAGAAAUUUAGUGGACUGGAAAGAAAAAUCCUCAGGCCAAUUAUUCUGACAUAAACUCUACUUAUCAGGAAGCACUAGAAUAUGAAGCAUAAGUUAAAAUAACUCAAAAAUAGGAUGCACACAUGCACAUAUAUAUACAACCCAGACAUACACCUAAGUAAUGUCUUGCUCAGUCUCUGCUGUGACUGCAAAUGGAUGAGCACUUUUAAAUAAGAAGCAACCCAAACAUUGCCUCAAAGUCCAAAUUGAAACAGUCUCUUUAAGAAUGGAAGCACUUUAAAGCAAAACCAAAAAAUUAUUUGCACAGUUUUGCCCUGUCUCGUUUCUGUUAGAGGCAAACAUAGCAGGCUCUCUGAAAAAGGAACCAAAGUUUACACAUUUCUGAGAGCCAUGCUAGUGCUAAUGCAGCACCACCUUCUUUGAUUAGGAAGUGAAGAAGAGACAAGUUUCAUUUCUUUCACUCACUGAAGGAAGUGGAGAUGUUUGUCUCAUAAGCAUAAAGAUAUAAAGUGACGUUUAGAUUAAUGUUUUUCAGCUUUAGCCAAAUUCAUCAGAUGGUCUCUCCUUUGAGAGCCAUUGACAUCCCACUGAAGAAUGUUUCCAUUGGGAGUUCUCGGAGUCUGGAGAGACCUCUAUGGUGCAUCCUAACCUUCCUCAGGAAUACAGGCAGGCCUGCAGAGAGACACAUGGUAGCAUGCAGGUGGAUAGCAAAGUGAGAAGGUGCAGUGGCUCCACUGGAGCUGUCAAACUCUGUCAAAGGCAGUGCAAAAGGGAUGAAUUUGCUUAAACUUCACAUAAAAAAGGAAAAAAGCACUUGUCAAUUCUACAUACUAUCAGUACAUGGUGAAAUGACUGGCACUCAAGGCCCCAGUAUCAUCCUUGCUGAACUUUCAUUUGAAUCUUAUUUCAAGGUAGAUGCAUGUAUAAUUAAUUUCACUGUCCUCUCAGAUUCUUUUGCAUCUCUGAUAGUGUUGUUGUUUUUGUUUUUUUUUUUUCCUGUUGUUUUACUCUUUGAAGUAGACAAAAAAAUGAAAUAUUUUUUAUCAGGUUACAAGUACAUAAAAAUAUCCAGUGUUAUCUGCCUCUGUAAUCCAUCUGUCACCGUGUCACACACAGCCAUUAGUGUAGUUUCCAGACACUGCAAUAUAUAAUAUAUAUAUAAUAUAUAACAUUUAAAAGAGGUACUACAGCCAAAACAAACACUACUUGCCUAUCCACCAGUAAGGGUUCAUGGCUGAUUUUGAAUCCACUAAGCCCGAAGGAGGUUUUUUCCUCUGCAGUGGAAUGCAAUGCUGAGUGGGGUGCAGGCACAGAUUCUGUGUAAGUAGCAGGACAGCCACAUGCUACAGAGACUUACAAAGCAGUACAUUAAGGACUGAGUAGAGUGCCUCUUGUCAGUGCUAGAAAGUCCAGUUGCUGGAUUUUGCUUUGUACUUCUGGAUUUUUUUGAAGUUUUGAAUUACAGAGAAUGGAGGAGGCAUUCUUUUUUUAUGCUUUUUUAAGCAACUCUAAUACCUUAGAGAAUUGGUGUAGAUGUUUGAACUUUGGCAUACAAUACCCAAAAACACACCUAUGCCUUAGGGUUUUAAGCAGUUAUCAUGAAAGAUAUGUGAGAACUGAAGCAUAAGAGCAGAGCAGUACUUGGCAUAAUCUGUUUGUCUAACAUCAGAUAGUCUAAAAUAUGUGUCUCAUGCACACCCCUUAGUAUUCAUGUACAGCAGCAGAAUUUGCUUUUAAUGGCUGAUUUUCCACUUUUUCCUAGUAAUGGCUCACGUUCCAUGGAGGUAAUAUGGGAACAAUCCCUACUGUCUGCAUCUCUGGGUAUGCUUGCAAUCCUUGUGCGGAAGCAGGCUGGGCGGCCACUUUUCAUUAAGAUGUAUGUGAUGCAGUCCAUGAAGUCUUGGAGCGGCUACCUUGUCUGUUUAUUGACUGUGAAAGAAAAAGGUACCGCUGAAAAUGUUUAUGUGACUCAGGGUUCAGUUUUCAUGGAGAUGAGCUCAGGCUGUCACUCCUACUUUAAUCUGGAAGUAAGAGAUUUUUUUGGUAAGCUACUAAGGCAUGCAAGGCAAGAAGGCAGAAACUAAGAGGGACCACAGAGGUGAGCUUGUUGAGUCAGUACUGGUUAGCAAAAGUUUGAAGCUGAGAAGCAAAGGCAUCAGAGAUUCAGCAGGGAAAGAAAGAAGAAAAACAUCAUUGAAUUGACAAGAUUGAGAAACCCUAAGAGAAGAGGCAGAGAGGAGGAAGGCAGUGCAUUAGCAGGACUGGGGAUCAGCCUCUUCUGAGGAGAAACAGAGGUUGAUGUGUCUCUGCAUGAUUGACAGCACCUUGGCAGCAGAGACUCGCAAGGUGACUGCCCUGUGGAUACUGAGCAUAUGAAUGCUUAGCCUAAUAAUGUUAGCUCUGGCCCACUGCUGCUUGUGGUAGCAAUAAAUAUGAACAAUUUGGGGUUUCUACUACCCUGCUUUUGGGCCUCUCUGCCCAAUAAAAAUGGCCAGAACAUGAGGGUUAUAUUUAAUGUGAUCUCCUUUAUCGUGCAGACUGCAGUAUUGGCCUCAAUUUAAUUCCUCCUUGUAUUAGAGCAUAUCUGUUUGAAGAAAAAAGAAAAUUCUCUCUUGAUUGAAAAGUUUUAUGGCGCUGUAUACUCUAUUAGCCCUUGGGAAAUAAUUCUGCUGGUUAAUUAUCCUGAAUGUUAAAAAUCUGCAUGUAAACUUUGCUCUGAAUUUGACUGUUUUCAACUUCCAGCCACAGAAUAUUAUUAUGUGUUUGCUGAACUGAAAAGCCCACUCAUCAUCAGGUUUCUGCUGCCUAUUUUGAUGGUGAAUAUGUCAUUUGCCUUCUCUGUGAUGAGCAGUGAGCUGCUUGAUCCUCUCAUCUUCAUGUGUCCUGAGCCUGCCAUCCCCCUAACUGGAUCUUUUCUGAAUGCUCUCCAGUUCUUCAACAUCCAGAAAUACACACAGUGCUGCGAGAUCACAUCACUAGAGAAUGCACAGGAGUCCCAGCAGCAGCAAGAGAAGCAGUAUUUCCUGUUAAUAUAACUGAGCACUGCAGUGGCAGAAGCAUCACCCUGAGGAUUUAUGUCCAGCAAGCCACCUGCUGUGUCACCUACCACAACUUUGGGCGCUGGCUGUUGGAGCAGCCUGUGCACCCCAUCAGUGUGAAGAAUCCUCUGCUGGUAUCCACAGACAUGUUGUUUGCUUGUGCCUAAUUCAGCACGUACCCCAGACUGAUGAUUUGCGAUCUUUAUCACUCCCACUGACUCUUCUUGUCAGGACGGGCUUAGGCUGUAGUGCAGUUAUGCUUCCAUCCAUGUCAUUGAUGAAAGUGUUUGGUAGCAGAGAGGCAAGAAUUAAUUUGUAAUGCAGCUCACUCAAGUCUCACCUCCUUGACUGAUGUCACUCUGCUUUAAUUCUUCCUGACCUGACUCUCGUAGCUUUCUGUGCUCUGCUUACCUGGGGUUCAUAAAGCAUAGAGAGGUACAUCUGCUGAAGCCUGCUCCAGCAAACUUGGAGCCAUGACAGUGCCCAGACAGGACAGUUCAAGCAAAGCAAUGUACCAAGUUAGACGCCAGGUGAAGUCCUACCAACAUGUUAUUAUUGGAUCUGCUACCUCUCACCUCUCUGAUGCUGCUGCUUCAGCUCUUAUAUUGAAAUAGGGCUGAAAGCUGAUCCUUGAAGAUUGGCACUUGUAAUUCAUCACCCAAGGGACCUUAUGUUUGCUGGUGCCAGCAGAUUCAGUUCAAGGUUGCCUGCUUAUGUACAUCGGGCAAAGAGUGACUUAAAGUGUAAUGUUUCCUGACUUCCCUGUGCCUCUUCUAGCAACAUCUAUAUUGCCACAACAUUUGUUUUAAAACCAGAACGAUAUAUAAACGUGAAAAUAACUCAUUUAAACGAGCAAACAAUAUAGCAGACAAUGAAGGAAAGUGCAGAGGACUAAAUGUGUAUCAUACAGGGAAUACAUUGUAUCAGCUAAAUACAAACAUAUUUUCUUGGGUUUUGUCCUUUGGAAUGAUAACGAAUGGGCAGAUCAACAGAAAAGAUCAAUGCCCCUGGUGAGGCUACACUUAAGUCAGUAGAGUUAGACCAGGGAUACAUUUGGCUGAUUCUUUUGCUAGCAGCUGUAUGAAAACUUUAAUGUAGAGUUUCUGCGUGUGUGAAGUGUAUGCCAAGACAAAUGCAACAUGCUAAAUGGAACCUCCUGAUUUAUUUAAAUUAAAAAUACGCUACAAGAAAACAGUGUGUAAUUGGAGUGGAAUGGAUCCAGACUAGAAUCGUCUGUCUCAUGUCUCCAGAGUGUCUGAGGGAGGAGCAGUAUCUUACUUGGAAACCUAAGCAAAGUAGAAUAUGCAGAUAGCAGAUAAUUUCUUGAAACUGCUAAGAUCCAGCAAGGGACUCAGAGCUCUUUAGAAGACAAAGGCUGUAAUCAGACGUAAAAGAGCAGUUUUGGCUGCAGCUGAUAUGGACUAAUAGAUUACCAAAUGCAGCCUGUUUUCAUCUGUUCAUGAGUUACCUUACUCAUUGGCAUUUUCCUCCCCCCACCCUUGCAGCCCAGGUCUGUCAGUAUCAUUGUCACUCUCCAACUGGCCAAAAUGAUCCAAAUGUAUAUACAAAAAAAAAAAAAAAACUAUCAAAAAUGUACCUAACUGGAUUUAUUUUGCUUUUACUGUGUUGGAGUUGAAGCCUGGAGAUGUGGCAGAGGUGGUGGCUACCAGUCGUGCCAAACACCUGUGGCUGGGCUAGAAGGGACAGUGUCUUGGUGUGGAUCAUCAGGAGCCAGAACCGUAUCUCUGAACACAGUCUAACUUUAGUGUUGGAUCAAUACAAUCCUUCUUCUCAUAAUCCCAAUCACCUGCUACCUGGUGGUACCCCAAGCCCUCUGCAAUCCACCUUUCUGCCUGUCCUGACCUGCAAAACCAUUUAAGCUACAUAAUUCUUUAGCUGCUCAGAGAUCUAUCUCAUGUCAAAGGUCUAGGGGGUUUCUCAAGCUCUACGGUUCCUGGCCUUCAAUACUCGCUAUGCCCAACCAAAUAGGUGCUUCCAGAGCCUACCUAACUUGUACUGGGGGAAAUUGCUGGGAGGAGGAAAGAGGAGAAGCGUUUGUGCAUCCAGUAAUUUCAGACAUGGAAGACCCAGUUUUGAAGGAACACUACAAGGAAAUCUAGUGCUCCCAUGUGCACUGUUGGAAAUGGUACAAAUAAGUUUCCUCAACACAUGAAGAAGCAAUUCUACUUAGCAUGAAAUAAUUAUGCAAAUGCUUCUAAGAUGAGGUCAGUGUAAUCAUGAAAGCUAAUUCCCAUAUUAACAGUGCAUCAGAUACAUCAAGUGUCUACAGCUCCCAAGAAGGAGCACAAUUGAAUAAAAAUCCUCAGCAGUUCUCAGCCUGGAUGGCUCACUAUUGAGAAUAACAGGACAAUUUUGUAUCCUGAAACACACUCAGAGCUGGUUGCCAACUGUUUUCAUUUUAAGGGCCUGCCUGCAAUAAGAAACCACCAGCAAGAGGAGAAUGAGAAAUUCCUCAUAUCCCUGGAUGCAGGUUGUCUUGCAUGUUGAGAAGUGUGAUGCUGCAGCACAUGUUUCAGUGGGGGAGUUAUUCUAGUUGUGUGUGUAUUGUGAUUGUCCUCUGUUUGGUGGAAGCGCCUGCUGAAAGAGCAAGAUGGAGUGACAGCCCUUGUGUAAAUGUAUUGGAAUGGAAAAAUAUUGUAUGGUCCAUGAAAAGAACUCAAGGUAAGAUUUUCAGAACUCAUUUUAUGAAAGUUGACACGAUUCUCAUGCAAUUCUAAUGGAGAAAGGGUAUCCAAACUGAACACUUCUGAAAAUGCCUUCUUUUUUAAGGAGACUUAAAGUCAUUCUAGCUGGUUUGUAUUCUUCAGCUGUUUAAGCACUUCAGAAAAUGUCACAAUGAGGCAAAAAAAAAAAAGUGCUAAUCGAUCGCAUUGGAAAGUUUAACUUUAGCAGCCUUGCAUUAAAUUAACUUGAGGCUUUGUACAUGGCUCCUAUUAGACUGUGCUAUAUGAAAAAUAGUAGGUAACCUUAUUCCUAUCAUAUGCAAAUGCCUUGGGGCAGUGUAAAUAGCCUGACUUUGAUGUCCUGAGGUUUGAAUUCUGAAAUGUUCUUUCACAGCUUGAUCCAGUGACCACAGAAGUCAGACAGAAAAAUUCCUUAUGACUCGAACAGGUCUUGACUCAGGCUAUUAAUAUUGUUUUUUUCCACCCUGUUUAAUAUCUGGCCACAUACAGCUCUGUUCCUGUAACAAAACUCUGAGGGAAUCUAAUUCUGGUCAGCACCUGACUUCUGCCUAAUUUCUUAGAAAUAAAUAGCAAGGUCAUUUGGCAGCACUGUUGAACUCAAGGCCUAAAGACUUAUGGAUAUGCACCUUCUGCAGAUGUAUACCUGUCUAGACAAUAAGGUUCUGUAGAGCUUAGUGGGUUUUUUGCCCAAUACUGAAGAGCUGUGGUGAGUACUUUCAGUUCUAGUUAUAGCUUGUGAGACAUGCACAUCUUUCUUUUGUGAGAGUUAUGCAUGUGUUAAAAUACUAAGGAAUACUAAGUAGUGCAGAAUCAGGCCUGUGAUAACCUCUGACGUUGGGAGCAUGUCCUGCAACCAAGCUCAUCCACUAGAAAGAACAACAUUGAAGCCCAGCAGUUAAUAUGCUGGACUGAGCCCACAGUCUUGCCCACUGAAGACCACAAUCUUGAGAUAGCAAGUUCAUCAAGGUAAGCACAAGGGCUGUUCUGAAAGUAAUGUCCCAUAUUUUAUAAUGUUGGCCCACAACGUCAGAGGCAGAUGUUAGUGGUAUGGCAGUAGAGGUUGAACCUUCCCACCAAUAUUCCAUUACAUUUUGUUGGUGUGCGACAGAUGGCAGUAGAGGGGCAGUCUGACCAAAUGGUGUCUGACAUGGAAGAGUGUAUAAAGCAAAACUGUGUCAUUGAAUUCUUCCAUACAGAAAAAAUGGCACCCGCUGACAUUCACUGACGCCUGCUGAACAUUGAUGGUGACCAAACACUGGGCGUGAGCACAGUGAGGCAGUGGGUGGUGCAUUUCAGCAAUGGUGACAGUGAUGUGACAGACAAGCCAUGCUCUGGACUGCCAUGCACAGCUGUCACACCACAAAACAAAGAGUGUCUUGAUCAGCUCAUCCACAUGAAUCAGCUAAUGGUGGUGACUAUAUUGAAAAACAGUGUUUUGUAGCUGAGAAUUUGCUCUAUCAAAUAGUGCUGUUGUGCUCUUUGUAGCUAUUGUAGUUUCCAUGAAAAUAAAUAAGAGGCAUUACUUUCAGAGUAACCUACAUACUUGAUUACUUACUUGAUACCUACAUACGUCCUGCCCUGCAAGCUGCACUGCAUGAAUUGCUACAACUCUGCCAGCCUGAAUUUCCAUCUGUUUAAGGGAAGAGGAUGAUAAUUCCUUCACAAAACUUUUGGUAGGUGCUUGUUUUGUUUGAUUAGGACCAGUUUGCUUAUUAUUGCCCAGACAGCAAGAAAAAAUCGGAGAAAUGAAAAAUUUUUAGACAGUGCUGUUAAUUUGUUGAUGGCAAGUUUUGCAUUGGUAGUAUAACAAAGGUAAAACCACCACUCUCUUUGAACCUCACUUUCUUCCUGCACAUGGAGUUUUUCACAGUGCACCACUGAUAGUGGAGAGACGGGACAGAGGGGAGAAGUAAUGAUUUUGGCGAUGGUGACAAUGAUGGUGACAUCAUUGUGAUUUACUAGAAUAGCAGCACAGCAAAUCUGGUUUCUCAAAUAUCUUGUGUUUUGUUAAUUACUGACAGCUUUGUUUUGAAUUGAACGUGACACAAUGUAGAGAAAUGGGCAAGCAUGGCCCCUGACUCACCACUGCCUGGCUGAGCUCGGCAGGUGGGAGCAAGCUCUCUCCAAGAAGGGGCCCAAGCAGUACUCGCUGCCCCAGUUCUUCUGGCAUGAGUCUCUGCAGAUGGAUGCAAGGGAGGAAGUCCUGAGACCCAGCUAUGGGGUUCCCCAAAGGGGCUCUUUCCACCCUGGGCUUCUGGUCCAGCAGGAGCAUGGAAAUCUGGCCAAAAAGGAACAUGAAACAGGGUGUACUCCCCAUGGGGUUUCCUGUGAGGUACCCUUUUACCCAGCCAUGGUUUGUUUUGGGCAAGUGGGAUGGCUUGGGUGAGCUGCUGGCUUCAGUUCUGUGCUGUGAGGAGACAUGUGGGGAGCUAGUUGCUGUAGACCACCAGUGACUGGAGGCAUCUGUGCAGGGGCAGGGAUUUACCUGGAAAUAAAUCUUUGGGGUUGGUGGGGCCAGGUCACUCUGUCCAUGUUUACUUCAGACUAUGGGACCACAUGUUGUGCAAAGCAGGAAAGUGCAAGACACACAUCUGAGGGCAAGUGGAGCCAGGGUGGGCACAGUCCUCUAGCAUUUGGCAUCCCCUGCCCAUGUGGGAAUUCACACUGAGUGCUAUCUCCAUGUAUUUGGAUCUGCGCAUACUUCAAGUGGUGUUCAGCCCACCUGGGUCAACCAAUCCAGGACAUGCACAAAGCAGGGGCAAGCUUGAGAGCUGCACUUCAGGCGGAGGAAUUCUGGGCAGAAAUGUGGGAGCUUUGUAGGUGUGGGUACCUGUUCUGCAGCUCCUGCCUGCACUAGUAUUCUCCUAGUGAACAUGAUGGAACCUUGGUACCAGAACAUGGGAAUGUUCAAAGCUGGAAGAGAUUAUUUGGUAUGCUAGCAUUCAUGUAAUGAAGAUAUUCGGUGUUCCAGGAGAUCUCAGGGGCUCAGAAUAUAACAGAUUCUUUAAGGACCUCAGCCAGAUAACACGAUUUUCCGGCCAGGUUAAUAGAUUUGACAAAAGCAAGAGAAAUUAUACAAUUUCAGGGUUUAUACCUAUUUUAAUGAAAGGGUACUAGGAUUAAAAUGUCUGCAGGAAAUGGUUCCUAAGAAUGCUUAUGUGGUGACAAGAUAUUGGACUAGCAAGACUGCUGGCUGUCUAAAGUUAUUCCUGCAUAAAUGUGCUCCUAAUGAUCCCAUGGUGACUUAUUUUUGACCUAUGUUUAUUUUGUUGGGUAAAUGUCACAUCCGUUUUUGUCUCUUUAUUACCACUAGUUCACCAGGCUCUGUGCGUGUGUUUGUGUAUGCAUAACACAUAGACAUAAUUACACAUAAGUCCUUUGGUGUCACUUUUCCCAGAGCAGUGUAACACUUGGCAUAUGAAAUGAAUUUGUAUAGAAAUAAAGCUGCAGAGGUUUUUUCCUUUCCCAACCAUUUUUUCCUUUUCACUAAUAUAUAAGAGAAGUGGAAACAGCAAGUCAGACUAUAUCUGUAAUCAUAUGGCAUGAAAAGAAAUUCAAUUUCAGAAAAAAAAAAAAAAGCCGUGCUUUUUGUCUGCGUGCAGGAGGAAGCCUGCAAACUAGUACAGCGCACAUCAGAGAUCCAGCAUUUGUGACCGAUAAAGUGUUUUGAGAAGCAGCAGCAUCUCAGUCCCGGUUUGUCAAAGCUGUUUUGCAACUGUCCUCCCAGUGAAGUUAACUGGAGCUAAGGACAUGCCUUGGGAAAUUAAGCCUAAAGCAGUGUGCUGGGAAUGCAGACUGCUAACUUCAGCUCUCCCACUAACUCACUGCUUGACCUUGAGCGCAUCAGAAGGUGGACAGGAGUCCAAGAGUGAUUUGGGGCUGCUUUUCCAUCAUCGGGUUAUCCUUCUUUAACUAGCACACGUUUGUUCUCUUACCCAUCAGGAGCUCAUUUGCGCAGCCUAAAACAAAGGGAAGAAGGGGAUCCUGAAUUACAAAUUCCAAGCCGCAGUCCCAGAAACCUUGCUGACAGGCUUCUUCUUUCUUAUGCAGUGCAGAGGAGGAAGCGUGGCUCUCUGAUCUGAGAUUUUGCUGGAUGAAGCCCCGAAUAAUGUUUCUGCUUCCAGCACCCCCCUCCCCAUCCCACAGGCUGCCUCCUGGCCCUGUGCCCCUGUGUAUUGAGGGGAGGCAGCUCUCCUGCCUGCAGGUGGAGAAAUCCCCUUGGCCAGACCUUCGUGGAUCCUGCAGGCCCAGCCUCUGUCCCACAGCAGCUCCCAAGCACAGCACUCAUUUCUGCGGCAGAGAUGCAGGUAUCUGAGCACAAGCUACAUCCAUGCAAGUCUAGUAACUGUGCCAGGAGAACAUGUCCAACUGCCUCUUAAUAAAAGGAUGAUAAAGAGAAGGCCAGGUGCCCUCCAUUCUCCCAGCAUGGUUGCUCCACUGCGGAAAAACAAGUCAGGAUGUACUGGGGAGAUGCUGCUCUGAGGCUCCUGCCUGUGUACUGCACUCAAUGACAUUUUGAUGUCAAAUAAAAAGAGGAGAGAGAGAAAUGAUGCUGAACAGAAAUCUCGGCUUCAGACAUCUGUUUACUUUGGAUAUAGUAGAGGGGAGCUGAACAGUAUGGCCAGAGCCUAUGGUGUAUUAAUUAACAAAAAGUGAGCACAGCCACUUUGGUUCAAAGAGCUGAAGCAAACUUAGGGUGGCACAGAAGCCUGGGGUUUCUCUGCCAUUUGAGAAGGCAAUUUCCCCCUAGGAGGAAGUUACAGUCUUUAAUAAAAGGCAGAUCAUUUUCUUCUGAAAAGUAACCUGUUUUGCUAGGGUGGCAAAGGCUUCUAAUUUUUUUUUUUUAAAGUCCUAUCUGGGAAAUGUCUUUUAAUGGAAAAGAUAGAUUUAAAGAACAGAUAAAAAAGAAGAGAAAAUGUGCACUUGAGGAGCCUGGGUUUGUUCAAGUACAAGCAUGGAGAGCCUGAGUGAUCUUCACAUUCAGAUCACAACUUUGCUGCAAAGGAAAGGUCACUUUUGCUUGUGUUCUGGGUCAGCUUUUUGUCUUUCGUCCCCUUGGUAAGAUCUCUCCUUUUGUAUUAUUAUGGAUCUACCUUGGUUUUGAACUUUCUCCUUUAUCUUUCCUUUGUGUGUGUGUGUGUGUGUGUGUGUGUGUGAGUGUGUGGAGAGAACUGAUAUUUCAUCUUUUAAAGGAUUUACAAGAAAAAGAAAUAAUAUAUGCACCACUGUGGAAAAGCAUGUCUCUGUUCAUACCUUUGCAUUUUACAGGAAAAUAUGUCAUUCCUUUCAGAUCCAUGAAUUAAGAUGCACUAUUUUUUGCUGAAGGCUAUUUUAAAUUAGGCUAAUAAAUUGCUGCUCUCUGCCUUGCGUGA